GCUGGAAUGGCCGAGUCGUUAAGGCGAGUGAUUUGAACUCUUGGGCUUUAAAACCAGUUCAAUCUCAAAUUCAUCACUUGGUGUUUCACCGCGUAGGUUCAAAUCCUGCUUCCAGCG